AGAGUUUGGAUGAUCGCCGGAGGAACCAUACUAGUGGCGCAAACGCACCAGAGUUCGUUUGAACCGGACCAAACAUGACAAGUGUGAAUGCAGCCUAAGACUGCCCACUUGACAGAGACUUCCUGUUCACAUGGCUAUGCGCAUGGAACGUCUUCCUGUAAAAAAAAAACCCCAAAAAAACGAACAAUAGAACUCACUGGACCAGACAGCUACACAAGCAAGACGCAGCUUGUCCAAGGAAUGACGGACUGGAGACAUAAGCGGAUGGCGUAGUAGUGGAAAGAUUUCUACUGAUACCCGUAACACUGCUAGACUACUUUCGAGGAAGGAAUACGUAACUCUGGGUUACAGACUCAGCGGGAC